CCUGCCUAUGAGUAAUAUUUAAAUGGCCGCGGUAUUUUGACCGUGCAAAGGUAGCAUAAUCAUUUGUCUUUUAAUUGAAGGCUGGAAUGAAUGGUUGGACGAGAAAUUUGCUUUCUUUAUUAUAAAAUUUGAAUUUAAUUUUUAAGUUAAAAAGCUUAAAUAUUAUUAUAGGACGAGAAGACCCUAUAGAACUUUAUUUAUUUAUUAAUAGAGAGAUUUAGUUUAUGUUUUUUUUAUUAAGAUUAUAAAUUUUGUUGGGGUGACAUGGAAAUUUUUUUAACUUUCUAUUAAUUUAAUUCAUUAAUUAAUGUAAAUAAUGAUCCAUAAUUUUUGAUUAAAAGUUUAAGUUACUUUAGGGAUAACAGCAAAAUUUUUUUUUGACA
rnacentral:rRNA from 1 species